rnacentral:rRNA from 1 species
AGCAGUAGCCACGGGAAUACGGAGGGUGCAAGCGUUAAUCGGAAUUACUGGGCGUAAAGCGUGCGUAGGCGGUUUGUUAAGUCUGCUGUGAAAUCCCCGGGCUCAACCUGGGAAUGGCAGUGGAUACUGGCAAGCUAGAGUGUGUCAGAGGAUGGUGGAAUUCCCGGUGUAGCGGUGAAAUGCGUAGAGAUCGGGAGGAACAUCAGUGGCGAAGGCGGCCAUCUGGGACAACACUGACGCUGAGGCACGAAAGCGUGGGGAGCAAACAGGAUUAGAUACCCGUGUAGUCCCUGUCUCUUAUAA